UGCUCGAACAGCCCCGUGCUGUUGAAGUGGACGUGGAUGUCGAGCCCGCCCGGUGUGGCGAUGAGGCCGUCGGCGGGCACGGCGUCGGUGCUCGCCCCGACGACGAGGUCGUCGUCGACGCCGUCCAUCGUGUCGGGGUUGCCGGCCUUGCCGACGCCGGCGAUCCGGCCGUUCCGGACGCCGAUGUCGCCCUUUUCGAUCCCGAGGAUCGGGUCGAUCACGACGGCGUUCGAGAACACCCAAUCGAGCGCGCCUUCGGCCUGCGUGACGCCCGACUGCAUCCCCAUGCCGUCGCGCA
rnacentral:sRNA from 1 species